rfam:Microgenomates (Gottesmanbacteria) bacterium GW2011_GWA1_43_11 TV59_C0012, whole genome shotgun sequence.
AGGCCAACAAUGGAUGCCUAGGCUUGUUUUGCCGAGGAAGGACGCAUAUGGCGGCGAUACGCGUCGGGUAGGAGCCAUACUCCUGUGAUCCGGCGGUUUCCGAAUGGGGAAACCCCUCCGAUUCGUCGGAGAGCCAGUUGUAAAGAUGACCGCAAGGUCGGAAUAGUGACUGGCAGGUAAGCACCUGAACUGAAACAUCUCAGUAAGGUGAGGAAAAGAAAUCAGUAGAGAUUCCGUAAGUAGCGGCGAGCGAAAGCGGAACAGCCUAAACCCCUCACCAUUUGGCGUAUAAAUGCAGGUUAUUCCGGUGAAGAGAAUUUCUGUUAUUUGUACAUCAAAUGGUGAGGGGGGUUGCGGGGCAGAAGUCGUGGGAUUGACGAGAGAUAGAAGAAUUGCCUGGAAUGGCAAGUCAUAGAGAGUGAAAACCUCGUAUUUAAAAUCUCAAGUCACCCUAUUCUGUUCCCAAGUACUACGGGAUACGCGAAAGCCCGUGGGAAUCUGGGUGGGCCACCAUCCAAGGCUAAAUACAAAACAAGACCGAUAGUGAACGAGUACCGCGAGGGAAAGGUGAAAAGCACCCCGGAAGGGGAAUGAAAUAGAACCUGAAAUUGUUGGCUAACAAACAGACGAAGUCCCUCACCUUUUUUAAGAAGAGGGUGGGAUUUAAAUUUAAAGAAGGCGAAGUCGUUUUGCUUUCUGGUGAAAACCAAUGCCUUUUUGUUGAAAAAGGUGAGGGAUGACGUCGUGCCUAUUGAAGAAUGAACCGGUGAGUUAUCGGCUACUGCAAGCUUAACCCCUCACCAUGCUCUUGAACAAAGUUACAUCUUAAAUUCGAGGAUAUGGUGAGGGGGGAGGCGCAGCGAAAGCGAGUCCUAAUUGGGCGACCUAGUAGUAUCCGGUAGACCCGAAACUGGGUGAGCUAAUCAUGAGCAGGGUGAACCCCGGAGAAAUCCGGGAGAAGGCCCGAACUCGUCAAGGUUACAAACUUGUGAGAUGACUUGUGAUUAGGGGUUAUAUGCCAAUCGAACCCAGAGAUAGCUGGUUCUCCCCGAAAUAUAUUUAGGUAUAGCCUUCGUUUUUAAUUUCCAGGGGUAGAGCACUGAAUGGAUUCGGUCCGCCUCGGCGGAUCGACUUCAAUCAAACUCCGAAUACUGGAAAUCCGAAGACGGAGAGUCAGAGAUAUACGGCUAAGCGCGUGUCUCGAGAGGAAAACAGUCCAGACUUCCAUCUAAGGUCUCUAAAUAAUAGUUAAGUGGUUAAGGAAAUCCGGAACUUAAAACACCCAGGAGGUUGGCUUAGAAGCAGCCAUCCUUUAAAGAAAGCGUAACAGCUCACUGGCCGAAGUUUUGGGUGCCGAAAAUGAUCGAGGCUCAAACUAUUUACCGACGAUGAAGAGUCUCUCACCACUUGUGGUGAGGGAUUGGUAGGGGAGCGUUCCAAAUGCAGUGAAGAUGUACCGUAAGGUGUGUUGGAGUGUUUGGAAGUGAGAAUGCCGGUAUGAGUAGCGUUUCAAGGUGAAAAUCCUUGAUGCCGCAUGUCCAAGGUUUCCGAAGCAACGUUCGUCGACUUCGGGUAAGUCGGAUCUAAGGCGAGUCCCUACAUAGGGGGUAGCACGAUGUAUAUGCCGUUUAAAUUCGGCAACUUUGUGUAAAUGAUUAAGAUACUAAGGAUUGACAAAGGGAGAUGUCUCCAGCCUUAUAGUGAUGUUGAGGUCUAAGCGUGUGAAGUAGUUUCGAAGCGGAAAAUCCGUCGGAAUGUUUAACUAAGCCGCAAAUGCAAUCUCACGAGUAAUCAAGGGAAAGUGGAGUCACAUUUUGCUUUCCGGAAAAAAUUCGUAGUAAAUUUACAUAAAUCCGUACCGCAAACCGACACUGGUGGACUGGUAGAGAAUACCAAGGCAAUCGGGUGAAAGUAAGCUCAAGGAACUCGGCAACAUAAACUAGGCGUAAGCUAUGCAAGAUGCCUUCCCCUCACCUUUCUAUUUCGAAUCGAUAAAUUGAAAAGGUUGGAGAUAGAAAGGUGAGGGGUGCAAUUAACGAUAUCAAGCGACUGUUUAACUAAAACACAGCUCUCUGCAAAGCCGGAAGGCAACGUAUAGGGGGUGACACCUGCCCAAUGCUCGUAGGUCAAGAGUGGUGACUGCGUCCGCCAUCUGGCGGACAAGGUUAUUCCUCAAGCCCGAGUGAAUGGCAGCAGUAACUAUAACUGUUCUAAGGUAGUUCGCCAUCUGGCGAAUCGCUGCCUUAGUGAGGUAGCCAAACCUCUCUUAAUAUUCAAUAGCCGAAAUUG